rnacentral:rRNA from 1 species
CUUGUUGGUGAGGUAACGGCUCACCAAGGCUUCGACGGGUAGCCGGCCUGAGAGGGCGACCGGCCACACUGGGACUGAGAUACGGCCCAGACUCCUACGGGAGGCAGCAGUGGGGAAUAUUGCACAAUGGGCGCAAGCCUGAUGCAGCAACGCCGCGUGCGGGAUGACGGCCUUCGGGUUGUAAACCGCUUUCAGUUCCGACGAAGCGCAAGUGACGGUAGGAACAGAAGAAGGACCGGCCAACUACGUGCCAGCAGCCGCGGUGAUACGUAGGGUCCGAGCGUUGUCCGGAAUUAUUGGGCGUAAAGGGCUUGUAGGCGGUUUGUCACGUCGAAAGUGAAAACUCAGGGCUUAACCCUGAGCCUGCUUCCGAUACGGGCAAACUAGAGGGAUGCAGGGGAGAAUGGAAUUCCUGGUGGAGCGGUGGAAUGCGCAGAUAUCAGGAGGAACACCGGUGGCGAAGGCGGUUCUCUGGGCAUUUCCUGACGCUGAGAAGCGAAAGCGUGGGGAGCAAACAGGCUUAGAUACCCUGGUAGUCCACGCCGUAAACGGUGGGCACUAGGUGUGGGGAACAUUCCACGUUCUCCGUGCCGAAGCUAACGCAUUAAGUGCCCCGCCUGGGGAGUACGGCCGCAAGGCUAAAACUCAAAGGAAUUGACG